rnacentral:rRNA from 1 species
GACGAACGCUGGCGGCGUGCUUAACACAUGCAAGUCGAACGGAAAGGCCCUGCUUUUGUGGGGUGCUCGAGUGGCGAACGUGUGAGUAACACGUGAGUAACCUGCCCUUGACUUUGGGAUAACUUCAGGAAACUGGGGCUAAUACCGGAUAGGAACUCCUGCUGCAUGGUGGGGGUUGGAAAGUUUCGGCGGUUGGGGAUGGACUCGCGGCUUAUCAGCUUGUUGGUGGGGUAGUGGCUUACCAAGGCUUUGACCGGUAGCCGGCCUGAGAGGGUGACCGGCCACAUUGGGACUGAGAUACGGCCCAGACUCCUACGGGAGGCAGCAGUGGGGAAUAUUGCACAAUGGGCGGAAGCCUGAUGCAGCAACGCCGCGUGCGGGAUGACGGCCUUCGGGUUGUAAACCGCUUUCGCCUGUGACGAAGCGUGAGUGACGGUAAUGGGUAAAGAAGCACCGGCUAAGUACGUG